rnacentral:rRNA from 1 species
GACGAACGCUGGCGGCGUGCCUAAUACAUGCAAGUUGAGCGCUGAAGGUUGGUACUUGUACCAACUGGAUGAGCAGCGAACGGGUGAGUAACGCGUGGGGAAUCUGCCUUUGAGCGGGGGACAACAUUUGGAAACGAAUGCUAAUACCGCAUAAAAACUUUAAACACAAGUUUUAAGUUUGAAAGAUGCAAUUGCAUCACUCAAAGAUGAUCCCGCGUUGUAUUAGCUAGUUGGUGAGGUAAAGGCUCACCAAGGCGAUGAUACAUAGCCGACCUGAGAGGGUGGUCGGCCACAAUGGGAAUGGGGCACGGCCCAAACUCCUAAGGGAAGCAGCAGUAGGGAAUCUUCGGCAAUGGACGAAAGUCUGACCGAACAACGCCGCGGGAGUGAAGGAGGGUUUCGGAUCGUAAAACUCUGUUGGUAGAGAAGAACGUUGGUGAGAGUGGAAAGCUCAUCAAGUGACGGUAACUACCCAGAAAGGGACGGCUAACUACGUG